rnacentral:lncRNA from 1 species
GGUGGGUAUCCGUGCGUGAGAAAAAGAGAAAGAAGAUCCUCUUUGGGGCGUGAGAUCUAAGGCAAGGUUCUAGAGUUUUCUAGUUUCUUUUUUGUCAGAGAGAAAAAUAAAAAGAAUUUUAUUUUUCUUCUUCCAUGCCAUCUCCUUCUUGAAAAGCUCUCUCUUUUGAUCUAAAGGUGUUCAUUUGAUCUGAAGAAAGAGGUCUCCAUUAACCAUCCAGAUCCUUCAUCACGAGCUAACACUCUCAGGAAGGAUGAUUUGUUCGGUGCUUCGAGUAGAUCAUCUAUAGAGACUGGACAUGCUGU